UACGUAGGGUGCAAGCGUUAAUCGGAAUUACUGGGCGUAAAGCGUGCGCAGGCGGCUUUGCAAGACAGAUGUGAAAUCCCCGGGCUCAACCUGGGAACUGCAUUUGUGACUGCAUGGCUAGAGUUUGUCAGAGGGGGGUGGAAUUCCACGUGUAGCAGUGAAAUGCGUAGAUAUGUGGAGGAACACCGAUGGCGAAGGCAGCCCCCUGGGAUGUGACUGACGCUCAUGUACGAAAGCGUGGGGAGCAAACAGG
rnacentral:rRNA from 1 species